GAAUAUUGGACAAUGGGGGGAACCCUGAUCCAGCCAUGCCGCGUGUGUGAAGAAGGCCUUUUGGUUGUAAAGCACUUUAAGCGAGGAGGAGGCUACUUAGAUUACUACUCUAGGCUAGUGGACGUUACUCGCAGAAUAAGCACCGGCUAACUCUGUGCCCGCAGCCGCGGUAAUACAGAGGGGGCAAGCGUUAAUCGGAUUUACUGGGGGUAAGGCGCGCGUAGGUGGCAAAUUAAGUAAAAUGUGAAAUCCCCGAGCUGAACUGGGGAAUUGCAUUGGAUACUGGUUGGCUAGAGUAUGGGAGAGGAUGGUAGAAUUCCAGGUGUAGCGGUGAAAUGCGUAGAGAUCUGGAGGAAUACCGAUGGCGAAGGCAGCCAUCUGGCCUAAUACUGACACUGAGGUGCGAAAGCAUGGGGAGCAAACA
rnacentral:rRNA from 1 species